rnacentral:rRNA from 1 species
AUUGAACGCUGGCGGCAUGCCUUACACAUGCAAGUCGAACGGCAGCACGGGAGCAAUCCUGGUGGCGAGUGGCGAACGGGUGAGUAAUAUAUCGGAACGUGCCCAGUCGUGGGGGAUAACGUAGCGAAAGCUACGCUAAUACCGCAUACGAUCUAUGGAUGAAAGCGGGGGAUCGCAAGCCCUCGCGCGAUUGGAGCGGCCGAUAUCAGAUUAGGUAGUUGGUGGGGUAAAGGCUCACCAAGCCGACGAUCUGUAGCUGGUCUGAGAGGACGACCAGCCACACUGGGACUGAGACACGGCCCAGACUCCUACGGGAGGCAGCAGUGGGGAAUUCUGGACAAUGGGCGCAAGCCUGAUCCAGCAAUGCCGCGUGCAGGAUGAAGGCCUUCGGGCUGUAAACUGCUUUUGUACGGAGCGAAAAGGCUUCCACUAAUACUGGGGGCUCAUGACGGUACCGUAAGAAUAAGCACCGGCUAACUACGUGCCAGCCGCCGCAGUAACAC